UCCAUGUGAACAGAGACUUGGGAUUUCUUAGUGUCCAUGUGAACAGAGACUUGGGAUUUCCGAUCAAUGAAGAUUUGAAUCGGAUUGGGGAAAUUAGGUGCAUGUAAACGUAGCUACCGUUUUACAUCCGCAACAACAUAAACAUAACCCAAACUUCAGCAAUAAUAGUGGACCUCAAUCGUCAGUUACAUUUAGAGUGAGAAAUAAAUAGUGGCUGGCCUUUUUUGGGGGGUGGUUCAUACAUGAAUGUUCAAAAAACAAUCAAGCUGAAGGAGAAAACGUGUAGGUUUUGCUGAUGUAGGCUCUACUAUAAAGACUCAAGUUUCAGGGUAAUGCAAAGCAAGGAGGACAUGCACGAAUAAAUCAGGAGGACUGUGAAAAGUUCAAGGCCUGAGCAUUUAUCAUGAGCAAAUAAACAAGAGCUGGCAGUCUAUAGUGGUCCCGAGACACUUAAAGUGUCUGCGUCUUGUGUUUGGUUGGGCCAGAACACUCGUUUUAAACAAAACCAAGAAGAGAAGUGCU